rnacentral:rRNA from 1 species
AUUGAACGCUGGCGGCAGGCCUAACACAUGCAAGUCGAACGAGUGGCGGACGGGUGAGUAAUGUCUGGGAAACUGCCUGAUGGAGGGGGAUAACUACUGGAAACGGUAGCUAAUACCGCAUACCAUCAGAUGUGCCCAGAUGGGAUUAGCUAGUGGGUGGGGGAACGGCUAACCUAGGCGACGACCCCUAGCUGGUAUGAGCGGAUGACCAGCCACACUGGAACGUGGACACGGUCCAGACUCCUACGGGAGGCAGCGUGGGGGAAUAUUGCACAAUGUGCGCAAGCCUGAUGCAGCCAUGCCGCGUGUGUGAAGAAGGUCUUCGGGUUGUAAAGCACUUUCAGCGGGGAGGCGUUACCCGCAGAAGAAGCACCGGCUAACUCCGUGCCAGCAGCCGCGGUAAUUC